rnacentral:tRNA from 1 species
CAGAAGAUAGUUUAAAAAAAACAAUAACUUUGGGAGUUAUAAAUCAAAUAACCUUUGUCAUCUGA